rnacentral:misc_RNA from 1 species
AGUCGUAACAAGGUAUCCGUAGGUGAACCUGCGGAUGGAUCAUUAACAAAGAUUCAUCUCUACGUAUUGUGAACCAUUUGAUCAACCGUCAGUGUGUCUGAGUAAUUUGCGGCUUGUCUGCAGUAUGCUUUUUUAUCAGCCCCUCGUCACGUCAGUGUCUGGAGGGCUGAAGACCACUGGCGGUACUAUACUAAACGUAUGCCCUGAUUUCCAAACUGAAGUCUUUUUAGUUAAUAACUAAAGAAAACUUUUAGCAACGGAUCUCUUGGCUCUC